GUGCCCGAGUCACAUUUCUUAUCACAUCCUUUUCAUUUCCCCCAGGGUUUGGCAUUUCCCCUUUUCUGAUUGGCUGCCUCCCCAGGGCCUGGGCCUCAGUGCUGGUGGCCCUCUGGGGGUCGGGAGCGCAUAAAUAGUUCCUGCUGGGGAAACUGGGAAACUGGUCUCAGACAAGAGGAACAGACAUCUCUGCCACGCACUGCUGCCUGGAGCUGCAUGAGGUCCCAGUGCUGCCAGCGUGUCUUCUGUGUAUAGCCCCAUGCACCUCUGCCUCAGCCACAGCCCUUCCCCGCAGCAGCUCCCGCGGCCUGGCCUGGUAGAGCUGCAGUCCCAGGCCUCCUUCUACUCCUUCCUGGUACGACUGCAUGAACCCCAGAGACCCAAGAAGCGAGUAGUGUUUGCAGACACGAAGGGGAUCUCGUUGACAUCCGUGUACAAGUUUGAAGAUGCUGUGGGCAGACACGUGUCCCAUGUUCAGUUUCCUGCGCCCUGAGCCACCUGGCUGGCCAGAGCCACCACCUACGCUCUGGGCUUCCCCGCACCCAGGCAGGGUUCGGGGGUUCCAGAGGCGCCUGCAGGUGCAGAGUGUGCGCCCGGAGCAGCGUGCUGGGCAGGGGGCUUCCUGCGAGGCGCUGUCUAGCAGGCAGGCUGGGUUCCAGAAGGCAAGGCAGAUGCGCAUCACCUUUGAUGUCAGGGCUCCUUCCAAGAAGUGCCUAGUGUUCACACGGCCAGUCCUUGCAGAAGCGAGACUGACAGCUUCGCCUUCCAAGCCAUGUUGCCACUAGGUCCCCCAGGCCGGUGGGCACCAUUCAGUUCUGCUUCUGUUGUUGGGGAAAACAAUCAAGGGCAAACCUGUUGUUUGGUGCCCAGUUCUCAGUCACGCUCAUCACAAUGUAAGUGAGCUCUGUGAGGGCCCACAGACAGGGUGAGCCGUCUGUGGUUACAUUUUCUGCAGAGGCGAAGCUUGAAUUCCUCACCCAGGAUGUGCUAUUCCUAUCGCUUCUGGAACUUUAUUCAGACUCUUCUUUCUCCUGAAUUCACAGUGGGGAGACAGGAGGGACACAACUCCCAGCCCCCAGAAAGCCUUGAAUGCUUUGCAUUCUUCUCUCACAAGGGGAGCCCACUUCCUGACCAAAGGGCUGAAAUUUCCUUUAGGGAGAUGCUGGGAAUGGCGCCCUUUACCCUUUGCAGAGGAGCCUUUGGAGUGUGGAAACAGAAGAAAUGUAAAUAAAGCUUUUAUGUGUCAUUAUUUAACAGGCCUGGCAGAGUGGCUGUAAGGACUGUGUGGAGUGGGGGAGGGCCGGGGAGGGUUCUUUGCAUUGAAAGCAGGAGGCACCCAGCACAGGAAGGAGCUCUUACACUUUCCUCUCCAGGUGGAAAGGGCCAGCUUUCUGGUAACUUGAAAUUGUACUGCUGCUUCAACUGUUGCCUAAAGAAAAGUUCAUUAAAGCAUCUUCAGUGGUUCACGUUGUAAACACUUGACCUUUCCCCCUCUUUAGCAGGUAAAAGUCUGGGGAAACUCUGUCUACCUCAAAACAGAUGCACUUAAAAAAAAACAAAAACAUUUUUAGCUGUUUUGUGCAUAAUUUACCAAGACCCAGAAACCUGACCUUUGUUCCUAGGCCCCUCCCUCCCCUGUUGUAUUUAUCACCCUAUAUGGAAACUGCUUAUUGAACUGUUUGCCACCCUCAGGGCCUGGAAAGGCUGGACCAGGACUGCCAUCCACCCUGCUGGCCCCCAGGCUGUCAGCCCUGGAAUGCUCAGGAGGUAAGGGUUGGAAUAAUAAGUGAAUGUUUGUGCCAGGUAGGCCCCUCGCUUCAACUUGCAAUGCUCUGAGAUCUUCAGUCUUCAGAAGAUUUUAGCCUCUUUUCGGAGAUUGCUCAUUCUCUCAGAUUACUGUUCGUGGAUGACAAAUUUUAAAUAUGUGUUUAAAAAGAAUGUUUCUCUCUUCUGAUUCCUUGACUUCUUGGGCUAUAUUUUUUUGUGCCGGUGGCAGGCUAUAUCAAUGCAAUCAUUGUGGCUGAGCAAGCAGCAUUCUCUUUUUCUCCCUAAAGGGCCUGCCCCAGCUGAUUCAAUCUGUAAAACAACCAGGUGGUUAACAGCGUAAAGCUAGAAGCAGCCAAACACACCGGCUUCCAGGGCCGCUCUGAACACAGCUGCAGCUUCCUCAUCUGAUAAGGAACGCUUUCAUAACUGCACCUGUUUCCUCCUGCUCCCUCUCCAGCCUUCUAGCCCUGCCUCCAUUAAGGGAUGAUCAGGAAUAGGUGAGUGGUACCCACAGGGUAUGCUGUCAGGAUUGGGGGUCGCUCUCCCAAAUUAAAGCUGGUACGAAUCAACAGAAAAACAUGAGUAGCCAGCUCUAAAGGUGAUUUACCUCUAGAAUGUGUUGUAGUAUAUUUCUAAUGAAACUAGGGUUUCUGAAAUCUCAUCAAUGAGCCUCUGAAAAAAUACAACUCAGGUCAGGUCCUACCACUGGGGAGGGGAAGUCGUGGAAGACCACGUGGGUCAGGUUUUACAGUUAUAGGGGGCCUGAAAUCUAAGACUUUUGAUAUUAUCUCUGAUGAAGUUACACUCCAAUGAAGUAUGACGGGGUUCGGAACAGUCCUCCCCAAGACGUGCCACUUUGGCAUGUGGAAUAUUUUGAGCUAAAAACAAACGAGACCCUGCGGGCUCAAGCGAAACUUUUACCUCUCCCUUAAAGAAUUUAAAUUGGGAGACUUGCCCAUAAUAAGAGUUAUUACCAGAAAUAACUUUUUAUGACCUAUCUGUAUGGCAGGGCAAACAUCUAAUUACCAAACAUCUGCUCUUCUUAUCAUCCUGUGAAUGACUCUCCUCCUCACUGAAGCCCCAGGCCCCCAUCCCAUUCCUUGGCUCAAGAUAGCAGAUACACCUCAUUUUACCUUUCUGUCUUCGAACCUCUCAUGUAUGUGGGGUUCCCAUAUGUACAAAAUUCAAUGUUUUUCUGUUAAUCUGUCUCAUGUCAACUUGAUUAUUAGACUAGCUGAAAGAACAUUUGAACAGUAGACAGAAAUUCUUUCUCCCCAAAAUGUACAACCACAGAGAUAGCUAACCAGAUUGAAAAAAGAUGCUGUUCAUUAGUCAUCUUUGAAUUUCACUUUGGUGUUUCAUUGACCGACCACAUUGCCUGUAGUGCACUUUGAUUUAAUAUUUGAUAUUUUUAUAAACCUUAUCUUGUAAAUAGUACAACUGUGUUAUUUGCCCCCUUUUCUGUUAAAAUCGAUAAUUUUGGAAAUACACACAUGUACUAUAUGCCACAAUUGUAAUCCUGUAAUUCUUUUUUUUUUUUUUGAAUAGUGAUAAUCUCAAAAAAACAGUUGUAGUUCAGGGCUCUCUUGACCUCUGAAACAUCCAGACUAAGAAAAACUGGUCCAAUUAAGACCACUUUUUCCAUCUAGCUAAUGUUUGCAUUCAGGGAGCUCUGAUAUUUUUACUGUUAAGAACCCCUUUUACUGUUUUUCCCACAUACCCCAAGUAUUGUCUACCAAAUUUGAUGCAUUAAGUACUAGUUCAUUUCACAAUUUUAUUAAAUAUGUAUGUAAUUUGUCAAGUUUCUGGUACUCAUCAUGUAGUUUUCACUCAUUCAACAUUUAUUGAACAACCUCUCUGUGCCAGACAUUAUGGGGACAGAAAGAUGAAUAAAACAAAAUUUACAGUCCAGUGAGGGGAGCCAGACAUCUAAACAGAUCAUCAAUAAAAAUAAGUAAUGUGAGAGGCACCUAGAGAGUGUUAGGGACUCAUGAAGAAUGCACCCUAAGGGAGAAAUCAGAGAAAACUUCCUUUUGGAGUUAACGCCAGAAGUGAGUCCCAAAAAUAUGAGUAGAUGUUUGCCAAAAAUUACAUCUUAGUUAGCUUAAUUAAGUGGCCUUAUUUAUAUAUGUGAUUUCCACUAGACUUUAAAAAUUAUUAUUAAAGUAAUUGGAAGCUCCUCUUUUCUUUCCUUGAGAAUCCCAGGAAGGCAGCCAUUGUUUUAAUGGGUGGAUAACGGUAGACGAGAGUGAAUUUUAGAAAAUAGAGAGCUGGGCAAAGAAAAGUGGUUUACCAUAUUCAUCCAACAGGAUGUUCUGCUCAGCCAAGUUUUUUUUUCAGCUGCUUGGCACAUAGAAUCCUGUACAAGUAGAACUUUGGGAUAUCUCAAAUCUCCAGAACCUCUAGAUACGUACAUUUCCUUUUUUCUUUUUCUUUUUUAAACUUUAUAGUCAACAGACAACCUAUCAAUGUUGAUUUAGUUUCCCAAGUAGAUUUUCCUACUGCUAGUGUAUGAGCUGACCUAUGGAUUCUAUAAUUCCGGUUAUAUUAUUCUGUUAUUCCAGUUAAUUUUGCAUUUUCAAUUAUCCACUUCAACUAUCCAAAUAAGCCCUUUCUUUUUAUCAGUGUCUCCUGCAGGUUUGAUUACUACAAGUCAGUGCUCACCCUGCCGUGAACUGGCAAAAUUGAGCCUGUAUAUUUUUAAAUUGAGGACCACGGUGUAGAUAUGGACUGAAAAACUUGUCUUCUUCAUUUUGCUCUUAACUGCAAAGUCUCUACUUCUUACAUCUGAGCAUUGUUGAAUUGAUCUGAUCCAACAUGUGCAUCGUCUGUAUUCUGAUGACUCUCACGUUUAUAUCACUAGCCUGAUCUCUCCUCCCAAUUCCAGACUCAUAUAUCAAAGAAUAGCAUCUCAAAUAGCAGUUGCAAAAAAAAUUAAAAAUAGAAUUACCACAUGAUCCAGCAAUCCCACGUUGAGGUAUAUAUUCAAGAGAGUUGAAAGCAGGAGCCCAGAUAUUUGUACAUUCACGAUCAUAGCAGCAUUACUCACAAUUGUUAAAAGGUGGAAGCAACUCAAAUGUCUAUACGUGGAGGACCGGGUAAAGAAAACGUGGUAUAUACAUACAGCAGGAUAUUAUUCAGCCUUAAAAAGGAAGGAAAUUCUGCCCCAUGCUACAACAUGGAUGAACCUGGAGGAUAUUAUGCUAAGUGAAAUAAGCCAGUCACAAAAAGACAAAUUUUGUAUGAUUUCACUUAUACUUCAUAUGAGUAUGAGCUAACAUCCAUGCCCAUCUUCCUCUACUUUAUACGCGGGAUGCCUACCACAGCAUGGCUUGAUGAGCGGUGCAAUGUCCGCACCUGGGAACCGAACCCGCGGACCCCAGGCCACCAAAGCGGAAUGUGCACACUUAACCGCUGCGCCACCGGGCCGGGGGUUUUUAUUUAAUGGGUAUUGAGUUUUCAUUUUUCAAGAUGAAAAAUUUCUAGAGAUCGGGUGUACAACAAUGUGAAUAUACUUAACACUACUGAACUGUGCCCUUAGAAAUGGUAAAGUUGGUAAGUUUUGUGUGUAUUUUACCACAACUAAUUUUUUUUAAAAAAAAAAGAACACAACUUUUGCUUAAUUUGGCUUUUUCUCUUGGUGCUUGGAAAUGAGCAUUGGUGUUGCUGGUUGUGUAGUAAACAGUUGUGGAUUCACCUCUUAAUGAAUGUUAAAGACUUUGUACGUUAAAAGGUGACCGUGGAAGGGAAAGGAAUUAUACAGCACACUUAUGGUGUUGUUCUACUGAGGGACAGAGUACCUUUCAAACGGAGUAUCUUCCCAGGUUCAUAGCACUGUGUGUCAUACACGCAGCAAACACAAUGAUUGUAGAGGCACAUUUUGGGAAAUGAGCUCAAAGUUAGGAUGGGAUGGGGAUCGUUAAACCUCUCACUGAGACCUUAAUCACUGUGACCCCCUUCUUUUAAUGGCCUAUCCUUCAUCAGGUACUUAAAAUUACUCACGUAGUUUUUGUAGCACAAGAGUAUUUUCAUCGUAGAAUGUGAAAAUACCUUCAACAAUAAUCUAGAGACAGUCCGAAUUCAGUGUCAAGGAAUUUAGUGCCGGCGAUGAGCCUGGUCAUGCUAUCAGGCAGUAGGCCUUCUCUAUAGAUAAACCCACGCCAUGUCUAAAUUCUCAAGCGUUACUUGCUCACUUUCUCUCUCUCCCAUUUGUAUUCUUUGUGCCUAGAAAUGACCAUGACAGAGAGAUGCCCAGAUCACUGACCUUUGCAAACAAAACUUUGGAGCCUAAGAGAACUAUAUUAACCCAGUUCUUACUGAUUUCCUCUUUGAGGGGGAAGUUUGAUUGCUUUCCCACACCAAAGAAGUUUAGAGAAUGUGCCAGUGAAUGGGUGCCUACUCUCACCUGGGUAUGUGUGCGUGUGUUGAUACCCAAGAAGUGAGUUUACUAUUUGGUUGGGCAAAGAAUCAAUGAACACGAUUUGUAUUGAGCCUGUAAUGUGUGUGACUUAUUUUUUAAUUUCAAAAUUAUUAUAUACAAGGAACUGUAAUAUUUGGUAAGAAUUGUGAGAAAAUUUAAACAUGAAUAGACACUAGCAGAGCAGACAGACAC
rnacentral:lncRNA from 1 species